AUUGAACGCUAGCGGGAUGCCUUACACAUGCAAGUCGAACGGAGUGGCGAACGGGUGAGUAAUGUAUCGGAACGUGCCCAGUAGCGGGGGAUAACUACGCGAAAGCGUCGCUAAUACCGCAUACUAUUGGAGCGGCCGAGAUCGUAGUAGCUGGGUGGUGGGGUAAAGGCUCACCAAGGCGACGAGCCGUAGCUGGUUUGAUAGGACGACCAGCAACACUGGGACUGGGACACGGCCCAGACUCCUACGGUAGUCAGCAGUGGGGAAUUGUGGACAAGGGGGGACACCCUGAUCCAGCCAUCCCGCGUGUGCGAUGAAGGCCUUCGGGUUGUAAAGCACUUUUGGCAGGAAAGCGGUACCUGCAGAAUAAGCACCGGCUAACUACGUGCCAGCAGCCGCGGUAAUAC
rnacentral:rRNA from 1 species